ACACUGCUGAGGAGUCUGAUACUAGGACGAAACGGCCGUCCAAUGU
rfam:Schistosoma margrebowiei strain Zambia genome assembly, scaffold: SMRZ_contig0005582